rnacentral:rRNA from 1 species
GAUGAACGCUGGCGGCGUUCCUAAUACAUGCAAGUCGAGCGAACAGACGAGGAGCUUGCUCCUCUGACGUUAGCGGCGGACGGGUGAGUAACACGUGGAUAACCUACCUAUAAGACUGGGAUAACUUCGGGAAACCGGAGCUAAUACCGGAUAAUAUAUUGAACCGCAUGGUUCAAUAGUGAAAGACGGUUUUGCUGUCACUUAUAGAUGGAUCCGCGCCGCAUUAGCUAGUUGGUAAGGUAACGGCUUACCAAGGCAACGAUGCGUAGCCGACCUGAGAGGGUGAUCGGCCACACUGGAACUGAGACACGGUCCAGACUCCUACGGGAGGCAGCAGUAGGGAAUCUUACGAAAUGGGCGAAAGCCUGACGGAGCAACGCCGCGUGAGUGAUGAAGGUCUUCGGAUCGUAAAACUCUGUUAUUAGGGAAGAACAAAUGUGUAAGUAACUAUGCACGUCUUGACGGUACCUAAUCAGAAAGCCACGGCUAACUACGUG